UACGUAGGGGGCGAGCGUUGUCCGAAGUUACUGGGCGUAAAGCGCGCGUAGGCGGCUUUUUAAGUUUGGUGUGAAAGGUUCAGGGCUCAACCCGAACAGUGCACUGAAUACUGGAAGGCUUGAGUGGGGGAGAGGAGAGUGGAAUUCCUGGUGUAGCGGUGAAAUGCGUAGAUAUUGGGAGGAACACCGGUGGCGAAGGCGGCUACCUGGACCGGUACUGACGCUGAGGCGCGAAAGCUAGGGUAGCAAACAGG
rnacentral:rRNA from 1 species